rnacentral:rRNA from 1 species
CUACGGGACGCUGCAGUGGGGAAUUUUGGACAAUGGGGGCAACCCUGAUCCAGCCAUUCCGCGUGAGUGAAGAAGGCCUUCGGGUUGUAAAGCUCUUUCGGCAGGAACGAAACGGUGAGGGCCAAUACCCCUUAUCAAUGACGGUACCUGAAGAAGAAGCACCGGCUAACUACGUGCCAGCAGCCGCGGUAAUACGUAGGGUGCGAGCGUUAAUCGGAAUUACUGGGCGUAAAGCGUGCGCAGGCGGUUGUGUAAGACAGGUGUGAAAUCCCCGGGCUUAACCUGGGAACUGCGCUUGUGACUGCACGACUCGAGUGUGGCAGAGGGGGGUGGAAUUCCACGUGUAGCAGUGAAAUGCGUAGAGAUGUGGAGGAACACCGAUGGCGAAGGCAGCCCCCUGGGUUAACACUGACGCUCAUGCACGAAAGCGUGGGUAGCAAACAGGAUUAGAUACCCUCGUAGUC